rnacentral:antisense_RNA from 1 species
GUUAAAGGAUUUAAAGUAGGCUCGGUGACUACUCGCACGUCUUGAAUAUUGACAUCGUAUAGUCCACCCCAGAACAUAGCUUUGCCCACUAGCAGCAAUGCACCUAUGCCUAGAAAUAACAAAUGAUGACCGAGAAUGAUACCCAGUUGUUUAGGAUCAUCCCA